rnacentral:rRNA from 1 species
UAAUACAGAGGUCCCAAGCGUUGUUCGGAUUCACUGGGCGUAAAGGGUGCGUAGGUGGUGAGGUAAGUCGGAUGUGAAAUCUCCAGGCUCAACCUGGAAAUGGCAUUGGAAACUACCUUGCUAGAGGGUUUGAGGGGGGACUGGAAUACUUGGUGUAGCAGUGAAAUGCGUAGAUAUCAAGUGGAACACCAGUGGCGAAGGCGAGUCCCUGGAAAAUACCUGACACUGAGGCACGAAAGCUAGGGGAGCAAACAGGAUUAGAUACCCUGGUAGUCCUAGCUGUAAACGGUGCUUGCUUGCUGUAAAAGGAAUCGACCCCUUUUGUGGCGGAGUUAACACGUUAAGCAAGCCGCCUGGGAAGUACGGUCGCAAGAUUA